rnacentral:rRNA from 3 species
GGACUACAGGGGUAUCUAAUCCCGUUUGCUCCCCUGGCUUUCGCGUCUCAGCGUCAGUAGAAACCCAGGACCUCGCUUUCGCCACGGGCGUUCCUUCCGAUCUCAACGCAUUUCACCGCUCCACCGGAAGUUCCAGGUCCCCCUAUUCCCCUCAAGACUGCUCGUAUCGGUGCCCAUUCCCCGGUUGAGCCGGGGGAUUUCAGCGCCCGACGUGGCAGUCCGCCUACACGCGCUUUAAGCCCAGUGAUUCCGAAUAACGUUCGCACGGUUCGUCUUACCGCGGCUGCUGGCAC